CCUGGUCACCAUUCAUUUUUUAUGUUUUGAAAGUUUAUCUUACUAACUAUUUUAGGACAGUCAAUCAUUACAAUACAUUAUUUAUAUGUAGAUUCACAUUUUUGGCAUAAUAUUUGAAAUAAUUGCAACCAUUAGUUUGUGGGUGUUUUGCACAUAAGAACUGCUAACAGUGCCCAUGAUAGAGGUCUCAACAUACUAUGAAGUUUGUUGAUUUGAUUCAAUCAUAACUUCAAUUUUUUUAAUAUAUAUAUAAGUAAAGCUACAUAUAUAAUUAGGUGAACUGAUUUACAAAUAAUUUAAUGGUAUUUAAUGGUAAAUCAUAGGAUUUAAGUUUAUCUACUAAAGUUGUACAAUUUGUACAAUCUUUGCAUCAGAUCCUAGUUUGAUAUGAGAAAAAAUUGCCAAAUAUUUCUCAAAUGCAUUAUAAUGAUACAAAUAGUUACAAAACAAAGACAAAUAACUAGUUAUAGAAUAUAUAUACAUAUAUAUAAACAACAUAUUAAAAGAAAUGACAAUAAAGUAUGUCAAUGAAUGUGUUUAGUUAUCAAUUUUUUUAAGAAUCAUGCAUCUUGUUGAUAUGAUUGAGAAAUUUGUUACAUAUCCAAUAUUCUUUCAACAUCCAACAUAGAUCAUGUAACAUCAAGAGAAGUAGUUGAUAAUGAUGAGGCAUUUUUUUAAUGUGAAAGCUAAAAAUAUAAUAUGAAUGUUAUAUUUAUAUAUAUAUAUAUAUAUAUAUGUAUAACAUAGCACAGCAUGUAUUACACAUCUUGAUAAAUUUCAUGCUACAGCCAUGAAAAAAAUUCUAGAAAACAUUAAAAAAUAUAUAAACAUUAUCAUGUUUGGCAACACUCAAAAUCUUGGUCAAAAUGAUGAAUAUUUUCAAGAUCUUUUACCAACCAAUUAUAAACAAAUAUUUGCAACAUAUGAACUAGCAGAAUAUUAUGAAUUAUUUAAGGUAAGUUAUGUCUUCAACAUGGUGUUAUGAAAGAGCUUAAAUUAUUUUGGUAUGAUUUUUGAUAGGAACAUAAAAUUUGUAUUUUGAAAUGUGUGAUUAUCAUUUCAUUAAAAUUCCAAGUCAUCAAUAUGAUAAUUGUAAGGAGAUGCAUCACUUAAUUACUUGAAUUGCAGAUGUGUUUUUAUCUACCUACUAAAACAGUAUUAUUUUAUUUUAUUUUAUUUUAAUGAAACCUUUUAUAUCAAAAAAUAUUUGCACAUAUCAAAAAAUAGAAUAAGUGUACUAAGAAUUACAUCAUUUUUUACCUAAUUCCUGAAUACCAGAUUAUUGUGUAGUUUGAAGUAAUAAAAGUAAGACAAUGCUUCAGACAGAUUUAGCUUGAUAGAAUUCAAUAGUUCAAUUAUUAAUAAUAUGAAAAUCUUAAAAUGGUUUAUAUUUUCAAUACAUUUUAAAUCAUAAAAAUUAAUGAAUAUAAGUAUAUAUAUAUACACACACAUGAAUUGUGAUUGAUUCAAAUACAACCAAUUAAACAAAGGCUUUGUGCAAAAGAAAUUUAUUUUAUAUUGAAAUUGAGGAUUUUGUUCAAAUUGAACAAAUGAGAGUAAAUCCAUUUGCUGCCAGAAUAUGUUUAUUGUUUAGUGAAGAUGGUUCCGGAAGACUAACAUUCCAGAAGUUUUUAAAUGUAAUAAUGGUUUUUUCAAAACACACCUCAUCUGAAAUAAAAACUGUUUGGAUUUUCGCUUUGUGGGAUUUCGAUGGUGAUGAUAUUAUUAACAUGGAUGAUAUAAUGCAUGGAAUUGAACUAUUAACAUCAUCGGGAGUUGUGGCACAUCCUUACCAAGCAAUGUUACCUCAUGUUCCAUCCUCGGAAGGACUUGAAGAAUACGAACUCAAUGAUUUGGCACAAAAGGUGACACUAGAAAUAGACCCGGGCAAUGAAGGUUUCUCUUUCAUGGAUUUCCGCGGUCUUUUAACACGGAUGCCCGAUUUAGUAUCAACUUUUAAUAUUUUCCUUGUUUGAGAUUAUCAUUGAAUUAUUACUCACCUUCAACAUUUUGGGUUCUAAUUGUAAUCAAGCUUUCUAUCUUCUUGCCUAGUGAUUAUAUUGUGGUUGAAAUUCAAUAAACAAAAAAAAUUAUGCUUGGA